CUCGAUCCACUAAACCAGGAUUGCGGAGACGCUCCCCAGGUCGCUCCCACGGGCGGCCCGGGAGCGAACCCUAGCCGCCGCCAGCGCAAGCCCCUCCAGCCCCUCCUCCCCUCGCCGCCGCCGGCGGACGUCGCCGGGCGAAGCCCGCGCGGCUCGGCGGCGGCGGGGCCUUUCCCUCCUCCAGCUCGAGCAGGGGCGGCGCGGGCCGUUCGUUCGUGCGGGGACUUGGCUCGGCGCGGUGCUCGCGCGGGAGCGCGCACCGGCGUGGGUGGCCGUGCUCGGGGCGGCGCGGAGAUGGGCGUCCUCGUUCCGGUGAUUUGGGGUGUGGCCUCGGUGCGCCUCGAUGGGAUCUGGCGGGGACGGCAUGGCGGGUGGCGGCGCUCCGGCGGCUCCUGGCGCGUGGAUCCGGCAGGUGGGGAUGCGGACUGCGGCUCCUGGCUGCUCGACGAGACCCCUCCCGGCGAUGCUGCGGCUGCAGUGGGUUGCUCGGGCUUCGGCCCGGCAGCCCUGCUCGGCGGGAUGGGGUGGGGUGGCGGCCCCCCUCCUGGCUUGGUGCUAUGGAGCUGGUCGGCUUGCUAGCCCGGCGUGGCUGGCAGCGUGGUGGCGUGGCGGCGGGGCCAGGCCGGUGGUCCAGCCACUUCUCUCUUUCCUGCCAGAUCCAAGUCAGGGGCGGCUAGGUGCGUCCUCUGCUCCCAUCUCCCGCGGAUCUCGCACUCCCUGACGUGCCUGCUCGGUUUCACCCCUGUUGGCUGCUUCGGCGGUCUGGUGUUAGUCCGGCAGGCGCUCGGUCGCCGUAGCAGGAGGUUUUCCCCUCCUUGCGGUGGUGGCUCUGGUCUCAGCAACGACGUGGCUCUGCAAAAGGGUGACGAGGGUGAUGCUACGAGCGAAAGCCCUAUGUCGGCUUCGGUCGGCAUCGGCGGUAGCGGCGCUUUGCAGCGUCGGAUCCCUCCCUGGAGGUACCGUUGUGUGAUGCAUUGGUUCCUUCGCCUACUCUGUUCGUUCUCCGGGUGAAAGCCUUAGAUCCAGCUCCUGGAUCGGACGACAGCGGCGUCCACGACGUCGUUACCACCUUGGUGGUGCCUGUCUUCGGAGACGUUGCUCCAUGUUGCUUACCUGAGGUUUGGGUGGUGUUUGGCUGGCUUGAGGUCGGUGGUUGGUGGUGGUGGUGCGGCUGGUGGUGUGGUUGUGCGGCCGACUGGGGUCGACGGUGGUGUGUGUUGUGGUGGUGGUGGCGCGACCGGCCUGCGCUGGUGUGCACGGUGAAGCGAUCCAGGUGUAGACUCGGCUCCUUGAUGCCCUUCGGCUUCGCCGGCGGUGCCACUGUUGUGAUGUAGACUCGGCUGCGUGUGACUCUUCGUCCGGGUGUGGACUCGGUCGCUCGUUGCCCUUCGGCUGCACCAAUAGCCUUGAGGCAUCAUGGAUGGUCUCGGUUGAUUGGAGCUCUUCGUCUACGGUGGUGGUGUUCUCGUGCGGCUCAGGGAAGCCCCAUGGAUAAUUGGCUCUCUUCCAUGGGUCUACUAUUGUGUUAUUACCGGCAAGACAUCAUUGCACUGUCCACAUCCAAGAUCUCCAUAUUCAAUCUCAUGUUCAUAUUUUGGAAACCAAUCAAGAACCACCAACAUUGUGUGCGCAACAACACUCAGAUCAUGAUCAUAAUCUCACUUUGGAUGCUUCUCCCCAAGAUUUGGAGCUUGACGCUGCAGAGAAGUUUUUUAUCCAGUGCAUCUCAGAAAUGAACUCACUCGCUUGUUCUACGGCAGCCAACCUCUUCACCCUUGUGUUUCUGGGUCUUGAAUUCUAUCGAGCAUAGAUAACAUGUUGUUGCAUGUUAUUUGCAGUCGUAUAUACUAGCCUGACCAACAAUGCUUGUACAUGCUGAUUUUGGUAUUCUGCUAGCUGUAGAAAAUUUAGAUAGUGUAUUCUUUUAAUUCUGGCUUGAAAUCGACCAUGAGUCUGAUGUAUGUGCCAUUGUAUGUUGAAUGUUGGCUACAAUUUAUAAAUUGGAAUUAUGGCUUGGAAUUGAA